rfam:Staphylococcus succinus strain BC15 contig005, whole genome shotgun sequence.
AAUUACUACUAGGGGAGCCUUUGUGCUGAGAUGAAUUUAUUCAGACCCUUACAACCUGAUUUGGUUAAUACCAACGUAGGAAAGUAGUUUAAUUCAUAG